CGAAAGAGGAGGAAACCCGAAUAGAAGAAGAAAAUCAGUUUCAUCGGCGGUUGAAAGCGAAGGUGAGGAUGGAGAAACUGUUCAGGAAGUUGUCCAAGUUAACGCCAGGUGCAGAGACUGCGGAGAAAGCAGGUUCCAGCUGCUCCUGUCAUGUGACUCUGCCUCACUUGAAGGCCUUGCCCACUUUGCGGUGGAGACAAAUUUCUUCAGACACCUGAAUUACCUAUCACUGAGGCUUACUCAGGGCUCUGACAAACAAACCAAGGACUAUCUGGCAGAGUCUGUCUUCUCUCAAGGAUGAAAAACAAGCCCUGGAGGUGAAACUUCAAAAAACUGAAGAGGAUCUGUCCAGACAGCUGAAUUACGCUCAGCAGAGCGUUGAGAUCAUCAAGAAGUUUCAGGGUGAGUUGCGAGCUGUUCGGGACAAGAACAAGGCCCAGACAUGGCGCUGGUGGCCCAGGAGAACGUCGUCCAGGAGACCUCAGCCAACCUUGAGUGUGCUCGCAAGGACAUACACAAUGCUCAUCAGCAGCUCUCCAACAAGGACCAGCAGUAAUGGUCCAUCGAGUGGUUGGAAUUCAAAAUUACAAAGGGGAGAACAAGAAUAAGCAGGUUUUGCGCUUUCAAGAGAAUCAAGUGGUGUCCCAAGUCUCCUUAAACCCAGGGGUAAGGGGUAAGUGCUAAGGGGUGUAUAUACCCCUUCAAAACGAGUGUGGUAGCUGACUACACUUGAAACGAAGGGGAUGGCGGAGCUACCACACCCGCUGAGAAGACGGAAGUGCAGAGACCAGAAGAAACUCAUAAAUCUGCAGCGGCUGUGGUGGCUCCUGACCUCACGUCUUCCUGCUCCCGCCUCAAGUCUGCAAUUAACAUAAAUGAAUACAGUUUGUGCUCCUGCAACACCAGCAGUGAAUCUGCCGGUCUGGACCCCAAACAUUUUGGGAGGCAAGGCGACAUUCCUGUCUACGUCCUUCCUUCUAGUCUGCUUCCCAGAGUCAAGAGGUCCCACCGCCACGGGGCAAAACUCCCGUGCCCUCAGCCUAUUUUCCUAAUUUAAAAACAUCUUUCUUACACAAUUAUUUAUUAUCUUCUAUGCUGUAAAUAUAUGUAUACAGUAUUAUGUAUACAUUUAUGUUUUAUACACGUCUGCAUCAGAAUUAAAGCUUAAAUCUCAUUGUUCAGAUCGA